AUUGAACGCUGGCGGCAGGCCUAACACAUGCAAGUCGAACGGUAACAGGAAGCAGCUUGCUGCUUUGCUGACGAGUGGCGGACGGGUGAGUAAUGUCUGGGAAACUGCCUGAUGGAGGGGGAUAACUACUGGAAACGGUAGCUAAUACCGCAUAACGUCGCAAGACCAAAGAGGGGGACCUUCGGGCCUCUUGCCAUCGGAUGUGCCCAGAUGGGAUUAGCUAGUAGGUGGGGUAACGGCUCACCUAGGCGACGAUCCCUAGCUGGUCUGAGAGGAUGACCAGCCACACUGGAACUGAGACACGGUCCAGACUCCUACGGGAGGCAGCAGUGGGGAAUAUUGCACAAUGGGGGCAAGCCUGAUGCAGCCAUGCCGCGUGUAUGAAGAAGGCCUUCGGGUUGUAAAGUACUUUCAGCGGGGAGGAAGGGAGUAAAGUUAAUACCUUUGCUCAUUGACGUUACCCGCAGAAGAAGCACCGGCUAACUCCGUG
rnacentral:rRNA from 1 species